rnacentral:lncRNA from 1 species
AGCCAGCAGAAUAUUAGUCCGAACUGGAUUUUAUCCUGCAAAUUUUCGUCUGUUACAUUUCCCAAAACUCUACCGGUUUUGAUAGAAGUUUUCUUCGCGUUACGAACAUUCAGACAGUCUUUGAAAGACAUCCCAUUCUCUUCUUUAAAACUCUCCAAAUGACUAACCACAUUUGGGAAACAUUUCACAACGUCCAUGUAGUGAUGGUGCCAAGUAGCUCUCUUAUAAGAACUAUACAAAUCAUCAAGUUCAUCACUAUCUACGCCCCCAGAACUGUUGUACAUCCUAAAUAGGUAAUCAGAUGGAUUGUGUCCCUAUCACAGUACUCCAAUAACUGUUUAUAGGAUAAACUCCCUAAGCAAGCAUCUGGUGGAAAUUUAGUAUUCCCGUAAAACUCAUCCUCUUCAUCUAGGAAAUCCCACCAUACGUCGAACUUCAAUCCUUCAACGAUUUUGAUAAGAACUCGGCGG